AAUAAUAAUAAGGUGUUGUCACUUAGGGGGUGGUUGUUGUAGUUUUGGCAAUUUCGGCAUACCAGCGUUACAGUAAUGCCUACUCUAUUUAUUCCAAUUUCCUUUCUGGGCAAAAUAGAACAAAAAAUGUAGCAGACAACAAUCUUGUGAAAAAAGUAAGCGUAGGUAUCACUAUUUCUUUGAGUCUCCUUUUCUCUGACUUUUCGUUUAAAAUUUAUUGGAAAAUCUGAGCGAUAGUUUGCAAUAAUUGUGAUUUUGUUGAGCUAUUAUCCCGUAAAAAGCAGCGAUUUAUUCAAGAUAAUUCCAGGUUUUUAGAACAGCACCUUUUAAGUUUUAGAGCUGGCUACAGUUGUUUAUUGGGGCAGUGUCUCAUCAGCGGCGCUACCAACAGCGGUGUUAUAAGCAAGUUCCAGAUUUUUGGAGCAGUGUCUCGCCAAGCUGCGCUACCAGCAGCGUUUUAAUAAGCAAGUUCCAGAUUUUUGGAGUAGUGCACACCAGCAGCAUCAUCACCUUCUACAACUAGAGAUUUUUCAAUUGCGUUUCAGGUAAGAAUUUAGCAAUUGCCAAUGAAUCAAAUUGGUAACUUAUUUUUUUAUUUGUUUUUGGCUUACACCCAUGCUUACACCAUCUUGUAAUGAUAUAAUUAUUAAUACACCAUGGCUCACACUAAUCACGGAUUCGGUACUUAUCUCCAAGCGUUUCCGCUCGGAUGACUAUGAUGCGGGACUUCGGUCUAGCCACUUAAACGUAUAAUUAUUUAAUAAUAUAACAGAUAGAAUUUAGAUGUGUAAGUUUUAAAUGGUAACGAAAAUAUAGUUUGUAAUAAAAUUCCCGUUAAAGUUAAGUUAUUUAAAAACUUAGUACGCAUAUAUACUUCAGAACUUAAGGAAAAAAAGUACAAAUCAAAUUCCAUACUUGAUGAUAUGUUAUUUUUAUUAGAAGUUAAAUAUAAUUAAAUAAA